rnacentral:rRNA from 5 species
GUUGAAGACGACGACGUUGAUAGGCCGGGUGUGUAAGCGCAGCGAUGCGUUGAGCUAACCGGUACUAAUGAACCGUGAGGCUUAACCUU